rnacentral:lncRNA from 1 species
GGCAACCACACAUUUAUGGACAAAAUCUCAAUUAAUAUUUGCAGCCUCAAUGCAAUAAAAUUCUAUCCAUAUGACUUAGUUCAGUUAAAGCUUUGACCCAUAGCAGACUUAUUUAAAAUUAGGGUAAAAUAUUUUGACCCACACUCGACCAAAAUUGCAAAAUCCUAACAUAAACCUAGCACAAACAAGGCAGGAUGAGUGACAAAUUUUCCCACCUCUGAAGCCCAAGCU